rnacentral:lncRNA from 1 species
UUCAAAAGUAAAUUGAAUAAAAAGGAUUUUUAAAAACCUUAAAAUUGAACACAGACAGAAACAAGUGAAUGUAAUUGUGUAUUAAAUUGAUAUCUUAACCUGUAUGAGAAAUAAUUCAAAUAACUUCUGAAAACAGUAUCCUGAACCUUAGUGUGAUAUAUUCUAAGGACAAAAAGAACCACAAAGAAAUCUUGAGUUUUACUUAGGAAGUUUGUUUUUGAUAAUGACAUUAGUAUAGUAACUGUAAAACUACUUUAUGUGUGUUACAGGAUAGAGCGUAUUUUUUAAAAUGUGUUUCCUAGUUCUACCUACUAAAAGAGCCUAGAAGCAAAGAUAUCCAAUAGCAAUGGGCAGUGUGUAUAUAGACCGUGAAUUCACCCGUAGUUUUUAGUUUCUGUCUCUAGUGAUAAGCAGAAAAGAGGAAUGAAGAAGGGGUUUUACUGGCCCAGCCAGAAACAGAAACUAAGAAUCUGUGACUGUAUUCUCUCUCUUGAACACCCCUGGCUAAUUCUUAACAUCAUAAGGUUUAAAAAAUACUUCUGAUACUACAGCUUUGGAAAGCUGACAUUCCUA